UACGUAGGGCGCAAGCGUUGUCCGGAAUUAUUGGGCGUAAAGAGCUCGUAGGCGGCUUGUCACGUCGGUUGUGAAAGCCCGGGGCUUAACCCCGGGUCUGCAGUCGAUACGGGCAGGCUAGAGUUCGGCAGGGGAGACUGGAAUUCCUGGUGUAGCGGUGAAAUGCGCAGAUAUCAGGAGGAACACCGGUGGCGAAGGCGGGUCUCUGGGCCGAUACUGACACUGAGGAGCGAAAGCGUGGGGAGCGAACAGG
rnacentral:rRNA from 1 species